rnacentral:rRNA from 1 species
UACGGGGGGAGCAAGCGUUGUUCGGAUUUACUGGGCGUAAAGGGCGCGUAGGCGGCCAGCACAAGUCAGUUGUGAAAUCUCCGAGCUUAACUCGGAAAGGUCAACUGAUACUGUGCGGCUAGAGUGCGGAAGGGGCAACUGGAAUUCCCGGUGUAGCGGUGAAAUGCGCAGAUAUCGGGAGGAACACCAAUGGCGAAGGCAGCUCGCUGGGACGGUACUGACGCUGAGACGCGAAAGCGUGGGGAGCAAACAGG